rnacentral:rRNA from 1 species
GCCAGUWGUSAUAUGCUUGUCUHAAAGAUUAAGCCAUGCAUGUCUAAGUAUAAGUAUUUAUAUAGCGAAACUGCGAAUGGCUCAUUAAAUCAGUUAUAGUUUAUUUGAUUGUACCUUUUUUACUAUUUGGAUAACCGUAGUAAUUCUAGAGCUAAUACAUGCUAAAAAUUCCAACUUUUGGGGAGGAAUGCAUUUAUUAGAUACAAAAACCAAUGCAAUUUUUGAAUUUUUUUCAAAUUUUGCCUUUUGGUGAUUCAUGAUAACUUUGCGAAUCGCAUAGCUUCUUGCUGGCGAUGAAUCAUUCAAAUUUCUGACCUAUCAACUUUCGAUGGUAGUGUAGUGGACUACCAUGGUUAUAACGGGUAACGGAGGAUUAGGGUUCGAUUCCGGAGAGGGUGCCUGAGAAAUGGCAACCACUUCCAAGGAAGGCAGCAGGCGCGCAAAUUACCCAAUCGCAAUACGCGGAGGUAGUGACAAUAAAUAACAAUACAGGUCCCGACAAGGGACUUGUAAUUGGAAUGAGUACAAUUUAAACCCCUUAACAAGGAACAAUUGGAGGACAAGUCUGGUGCCAGCACCCGCGGUAAUUCCAGCUCCAAUAGCGUAUAUUAAAGUUGUUGCAGUUAAAAAGCUCGUAGUUGGAUUUUGGAAGUUCAUGGAGAAAUGAUUUUUUUUUUGUUUUGAAGAGAAAUCGACAAAAUAGAUUGAAAAUUUUAUCUAUGUUUCUUGGAAUCAAGAUAAGAAGGUGUUUUUUACAUCUUUUUAUCUCCGAGAAAAUGGGAACCGGUCUACUUUAAGUCAAAUUUUUUUUUGAUUUAAAGUGUGCACUGUUCUCAAGCUUCUUCUUUUAGGUCAGUCCAUUUCUGCUCUUAAGUGAGUGGUGAUGAGGCUCCUAAUCGUUUACUUUGAAAAAAUUAGAGUGUUUAAAGCAGGCGAAUUUCGCCUUGAAUACAUUAGCAUGGGAUAACGAAACAUGACGUGGGGACUUUGUUUCGUUGGUUUAAUCAAGUCUCAAGUAAUGAUUAAUAGAAAUAGUUGGGGACAUUUAUAUUCCAUGGCUAGAGGUGAAAUUCUUGGAUUCAUGGAAGAUAAACUAAUGCGAAAGCAUCUGUCAAGGAUGUUUUCAUUAAUCAAGAACGAAAGUUAGGGGAUCGAAGACGAUCAGAUACCGUCGUAGUCUUAACUAUAAACUAUGCCGACCAGGGAUUGGGAGACGUUACGUGGAUGACUCCCCCAGCACCUUGAGAGAAAUCAUGAGUCUUUGGGUUCCGGGGGGAGUAUGGUCGCAAGGCUGAAACUUAAAGGAAUUGACGGAAGGGCACCACCAGGAGUGGAGCCUGCGGCUUAAUUUGACUCAACACGGGGAAACUCACCAGGUCCAGACAUAGUAAGGAUUGACAGAUUGAUAGCUCUUUCUUGAUUCUAUGGGUGGUGGUGCAUGGUCGUUCUUAGUUGGUGGAGUGAUUUGUCUGGUUAAUUCCGAUAACGAACGAGACCUCAGCCUGCUAAAUAGUAAAAUGAAUAUUCUAAAUGGGUGAAGGAAGGGAGUAUUUGAGAUGAUCUUUAAAUGGGUUAUUUCGCCUUUGUGGAUCCUUGAAACAUUCAUUUGUUAAUUAAAUUAUUUUAAUAUAAUAUACUUCUUAGAGGGACAAUUCAUAUUUUAGUGAAUGGAAGUUUGAGGCAAUAACAGGUCUGUGAUGCCCUUAGAUGUUCUGGGCUGCACGCGCGCUACAAUGACUAAUUCAACGAGUAUUUUUUUGCCUUGAUCGAAAGGUCUGGGGAAUCUUUCAAAAUUAGUCGUGAUGGGGAUAGACUAUUGUAAUUAUUAGUCUUCAACGAGGAAUUCCUAGUAAGUGCAGGUCAUCAACCUGCGCUGAUUACGUCCCUGCCCUUUGUACACACCGCCCGUCGCUCCUACCGAUUGAACGAUCCGGUGAAAUCUUGGGAUCUGAAAGAUUUUUUUUAAAUUUGGGGAAACUUGAAUUUGAAAUCUUUUGAGAACUUGCUUGAACCUUAUCGUUUAGAGGAAGGAGAAGUCGUAACAAGGUAUCCGUAGGUGAACCUGCGGAUGGAUCAUUA